rnacentral:lncRNA from 1 species
GGCAAGGAAACAUAUGUGGGGUGAGGUGUAUGAGCCUCUGGUCGAUGAUCAAUGGCCACACAACCCCCAUUUUUGUCGAAAAUAGCCAUGAAUGACCAUUUUCAAUAAUACCGAAGGCUAACACCUACGGAUUUUUGACCAAGAAAUGGUCUCCACCAGAAAUCCAAGAAUGUGAUCUAUGGCAAGGAAACAUAUGUGGGGUGAGGUGUAUGAGCCUCUGGUCGAUGAUCAAUGGCCACACAACCCCCAUUUUUGUCGAAAAUAGCCAUGAAUGACCAUUUUCAAUAAUACCGAAGGCUAACACUACGGAUUUUUGACCAAGAAAUGGUCUCCACCAGAAAUCCAAGAAUGUGAUCUAUGGCAAGGAAACAUAUGUGGGGUGAGGUGUAUGAGCCUCUGGUCGAUGAUCAAUGGCCACACAACCCCCAUUUUUGUCGAAAAUAGCCAUGAACGACCAUUUUCAAUAAUACGAAGGCUAACACCUACGGAUUUUUGACCAAGAAAUGGUCUCCACCAGAAAUCCAAGAAUGUGAUCUAUGGCAAGGAAACAUAUGUGGGGUGAGGUGUAUGAGCCUCUGGUCGAUGAUCAAUGGCCACACAACCCCCAUUUUUGUCGAAAAUAGCCAUGAACGACCAUUUUCAAUAAUACGAAGGCUAACACCUACGGAUUUUUGACCAAGAAAUGGUCUCCACCAGAAAUCCAAGAAUGUGAUCUAUGGCAAGGAAACAUAUGUGGGGUGAGGUGUAUGAGCCUCUGGUCGAUGAUCAAUGGCCACACAACCCCCAUUUUUGUCGAAAAUAGCCAUGAAUGACCAUUUUCAAUAAUACGAAGGCUAACACCUACGGAUUUUUGACCAAGAAAUGGUCUCCACCAGAAAUCCAAGAAUGUGAUCUAUGGCAAGGAAACAUAUGUGGGGUGAGGUGUAUGAGCCUCUGGUCGAUGAUCAAUGGCCACACAACCCCCAUUUUGUCGAAAAUAGCCAUGAAUGACCAUUUUCAAUAAUACGAAGGCUAACACCUACGGAUUUUUGACCAAGAAAUGGUCUCCACCAGAAAUCCAAGAAUGUGAUCUAUGGCAAGGAAACAUAUGUGGGGUGAGGUGUAUGAGCCUCUGGUCGAUGAUCAAUGGCCACACAACCCCCAUUUUUGUCGAAAAUAGCCAUGAACGACCAUUUUCAAUAAUACGAAGGCUAACACCUACGGAUUUUUGACCAAGAAAUGGUCUCCACCAGAAAUCCAAGAAUGUGAUCUAUGGCAAGGAAACAUAUGUGGGGUGAGGUGUAUGAGCCUCUGGUCGAUGAUCAAUGGCCACACAACCCCAUUUUUGUCGAAAAUAGCCAUGAACGACCAUUUUCAAUAAUACGAAGGCUAACACCUACGGAUUUUUGACCAAGAAAUGGUCUCCACCAGAAAUCCAAGAAUGUGAUCUAUGGCAAGGAAACAUAUGUGGGGUGAGGUGUAUGAGCCUCUGGUCGAUGAUCAAUGGCCACACAACCCCCAUUUUGUCGAAAAUAGCCAUGAAUGACCAUUUUCAAUAAUACCGAAGGCUAACACCUACGGAUUUUUGACCAAGAAAUGGUCUCCACCAGAAAUCCAAGAAUGUGAUCUAUGGCAAGGAAACAUAUGUGGGGUGAGGUGUAUGAGCCUCUGGUCGAUGAUCAAUGGCCACACAACCCCAUUUUGUCGAAAAUAGCCAUGAACGACCAUUUUCAAUAAUACGAAGGCUAACACUACGAUUUUUGACCAAGAAAUGGUCUCCACCAGAAAUCCAAGAAUGUGAUCUAUGGCAAGGAAACAUAUGUGGGGUGAGGUGUAUGAGCCUCUGGUCGAUGAUCAAUGGCCACACAACCCCAUUUUUGUCGAAAAUAGCCAUGAACGACCAUUUUCAAUAAUACGAAGGCUAACACCUACGGAUUUUUGACCAAGAAAUGGUCUCCACCAGAAAUCCAAGAAUGUGAUCUAUGGCAAGGAAACAUAUGUGGGGUGAGGUGUAUGAGCCUCUGGUCGAUGAUCAAUGGCCACACAACCCCCAUUUUUGUCGAAAAUAGCCAUGAACGACCAUUUUCAAUAAUACGAAGGCUAACACCUACGGAUUUUUGACCAAGAAAUGGUCUCCACCAGAAAUCCAAGAAUGUGAUCUAUGGCAAGGAAACAUAUGUGGGGUGAGGUGUAUGAGCCUCUGGUCGAUGAUCAAUGGCCACACAACCCCAUUUUUGUCGAAAAUAGCCAUGAACGACCAUUUUCAAUAAUACGAAGGCUAACACUACGGAUUUUUAACCAAGAAAUGGUCUCCACCAGAAAUCCAAGAAUGUGAUCUAUGGCAAGGAAACAUAUGUGGGGUGAGGUGUAUGAGCCUCUGGUCGAUGAUCAAUGGCCACACAACCCCCAUUUUUGUCGAAAAUAGCCAUGAACGACCAUUUUCAAUAAUACGAAGGCUAACACCUACGGAUUUUUGACCAAGAAAUGGUCUCCACCAGAAAUCCAAGAAUGUGAUCUAUGGCAAGGAAACAUAUGUGGGGUGAGGUGUAUGAGCCUCUGGUCGAUGAUCAAUGGCCACACAACCCCCAUUUUUGUCGAAAAUAGCCAUGAACGACCAUUUUCAAUAAUACCGAAGGCUAACACCUACGGAUUUUUGACCAAGAAAUGGUCUCCACCAGAAAUCCAAGAAUGUGAUCUAUGGCAAGGAAACAUAUGUGGGGUGAGGUGUAUGAGCCUCUGGUCGAUGAUCAAUGGCCACACAACCCCCAUUUUUGUCGAAAAUAGCCAUGAACGACCAUUUUCAAUAAUACGAAGGCUAACACCUACGGAUUUUUGACCAAGAAAUGGUCUCCACCAGAAAUCCAAGAAUGUGAUCUAUGGCAAGGAAACAUAUGUGGGGUGAGGUGUAUGAGCCUCUGGUCGAUGAUCAAUGGCCACACAACCCCCAUUUUGCCGAAAAUAGCCAUGAAGACCAUUUUCAAUAAUACGAAGGCUAACACUACGGAUUUUUGACCAAGAAAUGGUCUCCACCAGAAAUCCAAGAAUGUGAUCUAUGGCAAGGAAACAUAUGUGGGGUGAGGUGUAUGAGCCUCUGGUCGAUGAUCAAUGGCCACACAACCCCCAUUUUUGUCGAAAAUAGCCAUGAACGACCAUUUUCAAUAAUACGAAGGCUAACACCUACGGAUUUUUGACCAAGAAAUGGUCUCCACCAGAAAUCCAAGAAUGUGAUCUAUGGCAAGGAAACAUAUGUGGGGUGAGGUGUAUGAGCCUCUGGUCGAUGAUCAAUGGCCACACAACCCCCAUUUUUGUCGAAAAUAGCCAUGAACGACCAUUUUCAAUAAUACGAAGGCUAACACCUACGGAUUUUUGACCAAGAAAUGGUCUCCACCAGAAAUCCAAGAAUGUGAUCUAUGGCAAGGAAACAUAUGUGGGGUGAGGUGUAUGAGCCUCUGGUCGAUGAUCAAUGGCCACACAACCCCAUUUUUGUCGAAAAUAGCCAUGAACGACCAUUUUCAAUAAUACGAAGGCUAACACCUACGGAUUUUUGACCAAGAAAUGGUCUCCACCAGAAAUCCAAGAAUGUGAUCUAUGGCAAGGAAACAUAUGUGGGGUGAGGUGUAUGAGCCUCUGGUCGAUGAUCAAUGGCCACACAACCCCAUUUUGUCGAAAAUAGCCAUGAAGACCAUUUUCAAUAAUACGAAGGCUAACACCUACGGAUUUUUGACCAAGAAAUGGUCUCCACCAGAAAUCCAAGAAUGUGAUCUAUGGCAAGGAAACAUAUGUGGGGUGAGGUGUAUGAGCCUCUGGUCGAUGAUCAAUGGCCACACAACCCCCAUUUUUGUCGAAAAUAGCCAUGAAUGACCAUUUUCAAUAAUACGAAGGCUAACACCUACGGAUUUUUGACCAAGAAAUGGUCUCCACCAGAAAUCCAAGAAUGUGAUCUAUGGCAAGGAAACAUAUGUGGGGUGAGGUGUAUGAGCCUCUGGUCGAUGAUCAAUGGCCACACAACCCCAUUUUUGUCGAAAAUAGCCAUGAACGACCAUUUUCAAUAAUACCGAAGGCUAACACCUACGGAUUUUUGACCAAGAAAUGGUCUCCACCAGAAAUCCAAGAAUGUGAUCUAUGGCAAGGAAACAUAUGUGGGGUGAGGUGUAUGAGCCUCUGGUCGAUGAUCAAUGGCCACACAACCCCCAUUUUUGUCGAAAAUAGCCAUGAACGACCAUUUUCAAUAAUACGAAGGCUAACACCUACGGAUUUUUGACCAAGAAAUGGUCUCCACCAGAAAUCCAAGAAUGUGAUCUAUGGCAAGGAAACAUAUGUGGGGUGAGGUGUAUGAGCCUCUGGUCGAUGAUCAAUGGCCACACAACCCCAUUUUGUCGAAAAUAGCCAUGAACGACCAUUUUCAAUAAUACGAAGGCUAACACCUACGGAUUUUUGACCAAGAAAUGGUCUCCACCAGAAAUCCAAGAAUGUGAUCUAUGGCAAGGAAACAUAUGUGGGGUGAGGUGUAUGAGCCUCUGGUCGAUGAUCAAUGGCCACACAACCCCCAUUUUUGUCGAAAAUAGCCAUGAAGACCAUUUUCAAUAAUACGAAGGCUAACACCUACGGAUUUUUGACCAAGAAAUGGUCUCCACCAGAAAUCCAAGAAUGUGAUCUAUGGCAAGGAAACAUAUGUGGGGUGAGGUGUAUGAGCCUCUGGUCGAUGAUCAAUGGCCACACAACCCCAUUUUUGUCGAAAAUAGCCAUGAACGACCAUUUUCAAUAAUACGAAGGCUAACACCUACGGAUUUUUGACCAAGAAAUGGUCUCCACCAGAAAUCCAAGAAUGUGAUCUAUGGCAAGGAAACAUAUGUGGGGUGAGGUGUAUGAGCCUCUGGUCGAUGAUCAAUGGCCACACAACCCCAUUUUUGUCGAAAAUAGCCAUGAACGACCAUUUUCAAUAAUACGAAGGCUAACACCUACGGAUUUUUGACCAAGAAAUGGUCUCCACCAGAAAUCCAAGAAUGUGAUCUAUGGCAAGGAAACAUAUGUGGGGUGAGGUGUAUGAGCCUCUGGUCGAUGAUCAAUGGCCACACAACCCCAUUUUUGUCGAAAAUAGCCAUGAAUGACCAUUUUCAAUAAUACGAAGGCUAACACUACGGAUUUUUGACCAAGAAAUGGUCUCCACCAGAAAUCCAAGAAUGUGAUCUAUGGCAAGGAAACAUAUGUGGGGUGAGGUGUAUGAGCCUCUGGUCGAUGAUCAAUGGCCACACAACCCCAUUUUUGUCGAAAAUAGCCAUGAAGACCAUUUUCAAUAAUACGAAGGCUAACACUACGGAUUUUGACCAAGAAAUGGUCUCCACCAGAAAUCCAAGAAUGUGAUCUAUGGCAAGGAAACAUAUGUGGGGUGAGGUGUAUGAGCUCUGGUCGAUGAUCAAUGGCCACACAACCCCAUUUUUGUCGAAAAUAGCCAUGAACGACCAUUUUCAAUAAUACGAAGGCUAACACCUACGGAUUUUUGACCAAGAAAUGGUCUCCACCAGAAAUCCAAGAAUGUGAUCUAUGGCAAGGAAACAUAUGUGGGUGAGGUGUAUGAGCCUCUGGUCGAUGAUCAAUGGCCACACAACCCCAUUUUGUCGAAAAUAGCCAUGAAGACCAUUUUCAAUAAUACGAAGGCUAACACUACGGAUUUUUGACCAAGAAAUGGUCUCCACCAGAAAUCCAAGAAUGUGAUCUAUGGCAAGGAAACAUAUGUGGGGUGAGGUGUAUGAGCCUCUGGUCGAUGAUCAAUGGCCACACAACCCCCAUUUUGCGAAAAUAGCCAUGAAGACCAUUUUCAAUAAUACGAAGGCUAACACUACGAUUUUUGACCAAGAAAUGGUCUCCACCAGAAAUCCAAGAAUGUGAUCUAUGGCAAGGAAACAUAUGUGGGGUGAGGUGUAUGAGCCUCUGGUCGAUGAUCAAUGGCCACACAACCCCAUUUUGUCGAAAAUAGCCAUGAAGACCAUUUUCAAUAAUACGAAGGCUAACAUCGCUACGGAUUUUAUGACCAAGAAAUGGUGUCCAUUGAUCAUCGACCAGAGCUCAUACACCUCACCCACAUAUGUUUCCUUGCAUAGAUCACAUUCUUGGAUUUCUGGUGGAGACCAUUUCUUGGUCAAAAUCGUAGUGUUAGCCUUCGUAUUAUUGAAAAUGGUCUUCAUGGCUAUUUUCGACAAAAAUGGGGUUGUGUGGCCAUUGAUCAUCGACCAGAGGCUCAUACACCUCACCCCACAUAUGUUUCCUUGCCAUAGAUCACAUUCUUGGAUUUCUGGUGGAGACCAUUUCUUGGUCAAAAAUCCGUAGGUGUUAGCCUUCGUAUUAUUGAAAAUGGUCAUUCAUGGCUAUUUUCGACAAAAAUGGGGGUUGUGUGGCCAUUGAUCAUCGACCAGAGGCUCAUACACCUCACCCCACAUAUGUUUCCUUGCCAUAGAUCACAUUCUUGGAUUUCUGGUGGAGACCAUUUCUUGGUAAAAAUCGUAGUGUUAGCCUUCGUAUUAUUGAAAAUGGUCUUCAUGGCUAUUUUCGACAAAAUGGGGUUGUGUGGCCAUUGAUCAUCGACAGAGCUCAUAACUCACCCACAUAUGUUUCUUGCAUAGAUCACAUUCUUGAUUUUGGUGGACCAUUUCUUGUAAAAUCGUAGUGUUAGCCUUGUAUUAUUGAAAUGGUCUUCAUGGCUAUUUUCGACAAAAUGGGGUUGUGUGGCCAUUGAUCAUCGACCAGAGCUCAUACACCUCACCCCACAUAUGUUUCCUUGCCAUAGAUCACAUUCUUGGAUUUCUGGUGGAGACCAUUUCUUGGUCAAAAAUCCGUAGGUGUUAGCCUUCGUAUUAUUGAAAAUGGUCGUUCAUGGCUAUUUUCGACAAAAAUGGGGGUUGUGUGGCCAUUGAUCAUCGACCAGAGGCUCAUACACCUCACCCCACAUAUGUUUCCUUGCCAUAGAUCACAUUCUUGGAUUUCUGGUGGAGACCAUUUCUUGGUCAAAAAUCCGUAGUGUUAGCCUUCGUAUUAUUGAAAAUGGUCUUCAUGGCUAUUUUCGACAAAAUGGGGGUUGUGUGGCCAUUGAUCAUCGACCAGAGGCUCAUACACCUCACCCCACAUAUGUUUCCUUGCCAUAGAUCACAUUCUUGGAUUUCUGGUGGAGACCAUUUCUUGGUCAAAAAUCCGUAGUGUUAGCCUUCGUAUUAUUGAAAAUGGUCGUUCAUGGCUAUUUUCGACAAAAUGGGGGUUGUGUGGCCAUUGAUCAUCGACCAGAGGCUCAUACACCUCACCCCACAUAUGUUUCCUUGCCAUAGAUCACAUUCUUGGAUUUCUGGUGGAGACCAUUUCUUGGUCAAAAUCCGUAGGUGUUAGCCUUCGUAUUAUUGAAAAUGGUCGUUCAUGGCUAUUUUCGCAAAAUGGGGUUGUGUGGCCAUUGAUCAUCGACCAGAGCUCAUACACCUCACCCCACAUAUGUUUCCUUGCCAUAGAUCACAUUCUUGGAUUUCUGGUGGAGACCAUUUCUUGGUCAAAAUCCGUAGUGUUAGCCUUCGUAUUAUUGAAAUGGUCUUCAUGGCUAUUUUCGCAAAAUGGGGGUUGUGUGGCCAUUGAUCAUCGACCAGAGCUCAUACACCUCACCCCACAUAUGUUUCCUUGCCAUAGAUCACAUUCUUGGAUUUCUGGUGGAGACCAUUUCUUGGUCAAAAAUCCGUAGGUGUUAGCCUUCGUAUUAUUGAAAAUGGUCGUUCAUGGCUAUUUUCGACAAAAAUGGGGGUUGUGUGGCCAUUGAUCAUCGACCAGAGGCUCAUACACCUCACCCCACAUAUGUUUCCUUGCCAUAGAUCACAUUCUUGGAUUUCUGGUGGAGACCAUUUCUUGGUCAAAAAUCCGUAGGUGUUAGCCUUCGUAUUAUUGAAAAUGGUCGUUCAUGGCUAUUUUCGACAAAAAUGGGGUUGUGUGGCCAUUGAUCAUCGACCAGAGGCUCAUACACCUCACCCCACAUAUGUUUCCUUGCCAUAGAUCACAUUCUUGGAUUUCUGGUGGAGACCAUUUCUUGGUCAAAAAUCCGUAGGUGUUAGCCUUCGGUAUUAUUGAAAAUGGUCUUCAUGGCUAUUUUCGCAAAAUGGGGGUUGUGUGGCCAUUGAUCAUCGACCAGAGGCUCAUACACCUCACCCCACAUAUGUUUCCUUGCCAUAGAUCACAUUCUUGGAUUUCUGGUGGAGACCAUUUCUUGGUCAAAAAUCCGUAGUGUUAGCCUUCGUAUUAUUGAAAAUGGUCUUCAUGGCUAUUUUCGACAAAAAUGGGGGUUGUGUGGCCAUUGAUCAUCGACCAGAGGCUCAUACACCUCACCCCACAUAUGUUUCCUUGCCAUAGAUCACAUUCUUGGAUUUCUGGUGGAGACCAUUUCUUGGUCAAAAAUCCGUAGGUGUUAGCCUUCGUAUUAUUGAAAAUGGUCGUUCAUGGCUAUUUUCGACAAAAAUGGGGUUGUGUGGCCAUUGAUCAUCGACCAGAGGCUCAUACACCUCACCCCACAUAUGUUUCCUUGCCAUAGAUCACAUUCUUGGAUUUCUGGUGGAGACCAUUUCUUGGUCAAAAAUCCGUAGGUGUUAGCCUUCGUAUUAUUGAAAAUGGUCGUUCAUGGCUAUUUUCGACAAAAUGGGGGUUGUGUGGCCAUUGAUCAUCGACCAGAGGCUCAUACACCUCACCCCACAUAUGUUUCCUUGCCAUAGAUCACAUUCUUGGAUUUCUGGUGGAGACCAUUUCUUGGUCAAAAAUCCGUAGGUGUUAGCCUUCGUAUUAUUGAAAAUGGUCGUUCAUGGCUAUUUUCGACAAAAAUGGGGGUUGUGUGGCCAUUGAUCAUCGACCAGAGGCUCAUACACCUCACCCCACAUAUGUUUCCUUGCCAUAGAUCACAUUCUUGGAUUUCUGGUGGAGACCAUUUCUUGGUCAAAAAUCCGUAGGUGUUAGCCUUCGUAUUAUUGAAAAUGGUCGUUCAUGGCUAUUUUCGACAAAAAUGGGGGUUGUGUGGCCAUUGAUCAUCGACCAGAGGCUCAUACACCUCACCCCACAUAUGUUUCCUUGCCAUAGAUCACAUUCUUGGAUUUCUGGUGGAGACCAUUUCUUGGUCAAAAAUCCGUAGUGUUAGCCUUCGUAUUAUUGAAAAUGGUCUUCAUGGCUAUUUUCGACAAAAAUGGGGGUUGUGUGGCCAUUGAUCAUCGACCAGAGGCUCAUACACCUCACCCCACAUAUGUUUCCUUGCCAUAGAUCACAUUCUUGGAUUUCUGGUGGAGACCAUUUCUUGGUCAAAAAUCCGUAGGUGUUAGCCUUCGUAUUAUUGAAAAUGGUCGUUCAUGGCUAUUUUCGACAAAAAUGGGGGUUGUGUGGCCAUUGAUCAUCGACCAGAGGCUCAUACACCUCACCCCACAUAUGUUUCCUUGCCAUAGAUCACAUUCUUGGAUUUCUGGUGGAGACCAUUUCUUGGUCAAAAAUCCGUAGGUGUUAGCCUUCGUAUUAUUGAAAAUGGUCGUUCAUGGCUAUUUUCGACAAAAAUGGGGGUUGUGUGGCCAUUGAUCAUCGACCAGAGGCUCAUACACCUCACCCCACAUAUGUUUCCUUGCCAUAGAUCACAUUCUUGGAUUUCUGGUGGAGACCAUUUCUUGGUCAAAAAUCCGUAGGUGUUAGCCUUCGUAUUAUUGAAAAUGGUCGUUCAUGGCUAUUUUCGACAAAAAUGGGGGUUGUGUGGCCAUUGAUCAUCGACCAGAGGCUCAUACACCUCACCCCACAUAUGUUUCCUUGCCAUAGAUCACAUUCUUGGAUUUCUGGUGGAGACCAUUUCUUGGUCAAAAAUCCGUAGGUGUUAGCCUUCGGUAUUAUUGAAAAUGGUCUUCAUGGCUAUUUUCGACAAAAAUGGGGGUUGUGUGGCCAUUGAUCAUCGACCAGAGGCUCAUACACCUCACCCCACAUAUGUUUCCUUGCCAUAGAUCACAUUCUUGGAUUUCUGGUGGAGACCAUUUCUUGGUCAAAAAUCCGUAGGUGUUAGCCUUCGUAUUAUUGAAAAUGGUCGUUCAUGGCUAUUUUCGACAAAAAUGGGGGUUGUGUGGCCAUUGAUCAUCGACCAGAGGCUCAUACACCUCACCCCACAUAUGUUUCCUUGCCAUAGAUCACAUUCUUGGAUUUCUGGUGGAGACCAUUUCUUGGUCAAAAAUCCGUAGGUGUUAGCCUUCGUAUUAUUGAAAAUGGUCGUUCAUGGCUAUUUUCGACAAAAAUGGGGGUUGUGUGGCCAUUGAUCAUCGACCAGAGGCUCAUACACCUCACCCCACAUAUGUUUCCUUGCCAUAGAUCACAUUCUUGGAUUUCUGGUGGAGACCAUUUCUUGGUCAAAAAUCCGUAGGUGUUAGCCUUCGUAUUAUUGAAAAUGGUCGUUCAUGGCUAUUUUCGACAAAAAUGGGGUUGUGUGGCCAUUGAUCAUCGACCAGAGGCUCAUACACCUCACCCCACAUAUGUUUCCUUGCCAUAGAUCACAUUCUUGGAUUUCUGGUGGAGACCAUUUCUUGGUCAAAAAUCCGUAGGUGUUAGCCUUCGGUAUUAUUGAAAAUGGUCGUUCAUGGCUAUUUUCGACAAAAAUGGGGGUUGUGUGGCCAUUGAUCAUCGACCAGAGGCUCAUACACCUCACCCCACAUAUGUUUCCUUGCCAUAGAUCACAUUCUUGGAUUUCUGGUGGAGACCAUUUCUUGGUCAAAAAUCCGUAGGUGUUAGCCUUCGGUAUUAUUGAAAAUGGUCGUUCAUGGCUAUUUUCGACAAAAAUGGGGGUUGUGUGGCCAUUGAUCAUCGACCAGAGGCUCAUACACCUCACCCCACAUAUGUUUCCUUGCCAUAGAUCACAUUCUUGGAUUUCUGGUGGAGACCAUUUCUUGGUCAAAAAUCCGUAGUGUUAGCCUUCGUAUUAUUGAAAAUGGUCGUUCAUGGCUAUUUUCGACAAAAAUGGGGGUUGUGUGGCCAUUGAUCAUCGACCAGAGGCUCAUACACCUCACCCCACAUAUGUUUCCUUGCCAUAGAUCACAUUCUUGGAUUUCUGGUGGAGACCAUUUCUUGGUCAAAAAUCCGUAGGUGUUAGCCUUCGGUAUUAUUGAAAAUGGUCGUUCAUGGCUAUUUUCGACAAAAAUGGGGGUUGUGUGGCCAUUGAUCAUCGACCAGAGGCUCAUACACCUCACCCCACAUAUGUUUCCUUGCCAUAGAUCACAUUCUUGGAUUUCUGGUGGAGACCAUUUCUUGGUCAAAAAUCCGUAGGUGUUAGCCUUCGUAUUAUUGAAAAUGGUCGUUCAUGGCUAUUUUCGACAAAAAUGGGGUUGUGUGGCCAUUGAUCAUCGACCAGAGGCUCAUACACCUCACCCCACAUAUGUUUCCUUGCCAUAGAUCACAUUCUUGGAUUUCUGGUGGAGACCAUUUCUUGGUCAAAAAUCCGUAGGUGUUAGCCUUCGGUAUUAUUGAAAAUGGUCAUUCAUGGCUAUUUUCGACAAAAUGGGGGUUGUGUGGCCAUUGAUCAUCGACCAGAGGCUCAUACACCUCACCCCACAUAUGUUUCCUUGCCAUAGAUCACAUUCUUGGAUUUCUGGUGGAGACCAUUUCUUGGUCAAAAAUCCGUAGGUGUUAGCCUUCGUAUUAUUGAAAAUGGUCGUUCAUGGCUAUUUUCGACAAAAAUGGGGGUUGUGUGGCCAUUGAUCAUCGACCAGAGGCUCAUACACCUCACCCCACAUAUGUUUCCUUGCCAUAGAUCACAUUCUUGGAUUUCUGGUGGAGACCAUUUCUUGGUCAAAAAUCCGUAGGUGUUAGCCUUCGGUAUUAUUGAAAAUGGUCGUUCAUGGCUAUUUUCGACAAAAAUGGGGGUUGUGUGGCCAUUGAUCAUCGACCAGAGGCUCAUACACCUCACCCCACAUAUGUUUCCUUGCCAUAGAUCACAUUCUUGGAUUUCUGGUGGAGACCAUUUCUUGGUCUAAAAUCCGUAGGUGUUAGCCUCUAGUAUUAUUGAAAAUGGUCGCUCAUGGCUAUUUUCAUGGUCGCUCAUGGCUAUUUUCAUAAAAAUGGGGGUUGUGUGGCCAUUUAUCAUCGACUAGAGGCUCAUAAACCUCACCCCACAUAUGUUUCCUUGCCAUAGAUUACAUUCUUGGAUUUCUGGUGGAAACCAUUUCUUGGUUAAAAACUCGUACGUGUUAGCCUUCGGUAUUAUUGAAAAUGGUCAUUCAUGGCUAUUUUCGGCAAAAUGGGGGUUGUGUGGCCAUUGAUCGUCGACCAGAGGCUCAUACACCUCACCCCACAUAUGUUUCCUUGCCAUAGAUCACAUUCUUGGAUUUCUGGUGGAGACCAUUUCUUGGUCAAAAAUCCGUAGGUGUUAGCCUUCGAUAUUAUUGAAAAUGGUCGUUCAUGGCUAUUUUCGACAAAAAUGGGGGUUGUGUGGCCAUUGAUCAUCGACCAGAGGCUCAUACACCUCACCCCACAUAUGUUUCCUUGCCAUAGAUCACAUUCUUGGAUUUCUGGUGGAGACCAUUUCUUGGUCAAAAAUCCGUAGGUGUUAGCCUUCGGUAUUAUUGAAAUGGUCAUUCAUGGCUAUUUUCGACAAAAAUGGGGGUUGUGUGGCCAUUGAUCAUCGACCAGAGGCUCAUACACCUCACCCCACAUAUGUUUCCUUGCCAUAGAUCACAUUCUUGGAUUUCUGGUGGAGACCAUUUCUUGGUCAAAAAUCCGUAGGUGUUAGCCUCUAGUAUUAUUGAAAAUGGUCGCUCAUGGCUAUUUUCAUAAAAAAUGGGGUUGUGUGGCCAUUGAUCAUCGACCAAGCCAUGAACGACCAUUUUCAAUAAUACCGAAGGCUAACACUACGGAUUUUUGACCAAGAAAUGGUCUCCACCAGAAAUCCAAGAAUGUGAUCUAUGGCAAGGAAACAUAUGUGGGGUGAGGUUAUGAGCCUCUAGUCGAUGAUAAAUGGCCACACAACCCCCAUUUUUGUCAUGAAAAUAGCCAUGAGCGACCAUUUUCAAUAAUACUAGAGGCUAACACCUACGGAUUUUUGACCAAGAAAUGGUCUCCACCAGAAAUCCAAGAAUGUGAUCUAUGGCAAGGAAACAUAUGUGGGGUGAGGUGUAUGAGCUCUGGUCGAUGAUCAAUGGCCACACAACCCCCAUUUUUGUCGAAAAUAGCCAUGAACGACCAUUUUCAAUAAUACCGAAGGCUAACACCUACGAUUUUUGACCAAGAAAUGGUCUCCACCAGAAAUCCAAGAAUGUGAUCUAUGGCAAGGAAACAUAUGUGGGGUGAGGUGUAUGAGCCUCUGGUCGAUGAUCAAUGGCCACACAACCCCCAUUUUUGUCGAAAAUAGCCAUGAACGACCAUUUUCAAUAAUACGAAGGCUAACACCUACGGAUUUUUGCCCAAGAAAUGGUCUCCACCAGAAAUCCAAGAAUGUGAUCUAUGGCAAGGAAACAUAUGUGGGGUGAGGUGUAUGAGCCUCUGGUCGACGAUCAAUGGCCACACAACCCCCAUUUUGCCGAAAAUAGCCAUGAACGACCAUUUUCAAUAAUAC